rnacentral:rRNA from 1 species
AUUGAACGCUGGCGGCAGGCCUAACACAUGCAAGUCGAGCGGAUGAAGGGAGCUUGCUCCUGGAUUCAGCGGCGGACGGGUGAGUAAUGCCUAGGAAUCUGCCUGGUAGUGGGGGAUAACGUCCGGAAACGGGCGCUAAUACCGCAUACGUCCUGAGGGAGAAAGUGGGGGAUCUUCGGACCUCACGCUAUCAGAUGAGCCUAGGUCGGAUUAGCUAGUUGGUGGGGUAAAGGCCUACCAAGGCGACGAUCCGUAACUGGUCUGAGAGGAUGAUCAGUCAACCGGGAAUUAGCAACCGGUCCAGACCCCACGGGAGGCAGCAGUGGGGAAUAUUGGACAAUGGGCGAAAGCCUGAUCCAGCCAUGCCGCGUGUGUGAAGAAGGUCUUCGGAUUGUAAAGCACUUUAAGUUGGGAGGAAGGGCAGUAAGUUAAUACCUUGCUGUUUUGACGUUACCAACAGAAUAAGCACCGGCUAACUUCGUG